CCUGACUCUAGAGGCUUUGCAGGAGUGGCUUCUGUGUCACACUUUCAUCAGUAGAUGGCAGAGGGGUGAGAAGCUGUGUCUUAGCUUAGUUUUCUGACCUAUUAAGAACAUCUAAAUGAUUAGUAGCUUUAAAAG